rnacentral:misc_RNA from 1 species
CCUGUAAUAUUUUUUUCAUAUUGUCUGAUCAUCAUACACUCCACACGUUCUAUAAUUUAAUAUUAAUUUAUUCUUUACCUAAGGCAUGCAUUAGUAUAUUUUAAUGACCAGUACUGUACAGCAUACGUUGGCAUUUAUUGUUGAAAUCUUGUCAUUGUAAAAUGCAAUAGAUCACCUUUAUAUUCAUGUCUGUGGGGACAACUAAGGCAGUGAUAUUGGAAGACUAGUUGCAGGGCCUUGCUAUAAGUCCUCAAGACUUUUAUGGCAUUUAUUAUUUGUUUGUUAUUUUUAUAUUAAAUGAUAUUAAAUACUUAACAUAAUUAU